UACGUAGGGGGCAAGCGUUGUCCGGAUUUAUUGGGCGUAAAGAGCGUGUAGGCGGCCAGAUAGGUCUGCUGUGAAAACUCGAGGCUCGACCUCGAGCUGUCGGCGGAAACCAUCUGGCUAGAGUCCGGAAGAGGAGAGUGGAAUUCCUGGUGUAGCGGUGAAAUGCGCAGAUAUCAGGAAGAACACCUAUGGCGAAGGCAGCUCUCUGGGACGGUACUGACGCUGAGACGCGAAAGCGUGGGGAGCAAACAGG
rnacentral:rRNA from 1 species